rnacentral:rRNA from 1 species
GACGAACGCUGGCGGCGUGCUUAACACAUGCAAGUCGAACGGAAGGGCCCUGCUUUUGUGGGGUUCUCGAGUGGCGAACGGGGGAGUAACACGUGAGUAACCUGCCCUUGACUUUGGGAUAACUUCAGGAAACUGGGGCUAAUACCGGAUAGGAGCUCCUGCUGCAUGGUGGGGGUUGGAAAGUUUCGGCGGUUGGGGAUGGACUGGCGGCUUAUCAGCUUGUUGGUGGGGUAGUGGCUUACCAAGGCUUUGACGGGUAGCCGGCCUGAGAGGGUGACCGGCCACAUUGGGACUGAGAUACGGACCAGACUCCUACGGGAGGCAGCAGUGGGGAAUAUUGCACAAUGGGCGGAAGCCUGAUGCAGCAACGCCGCGUGCGGGAUGACGGCCUUCGGGUUGUAAACCGCUUUCGCCUGUGACGAAGCGUGAGUGACGGUAAUGGGUAAAGAAGCACCGGCUAACUACGUG